rnacentral:rRNA from 1 species
AGUGAACGCUGGCGGUAGGCCUAACACAUGCAAGUCGAACGGCAGCACAGUAAGAGCUUGCUCUUACGGGUGGCGAGUGGCGGACGGGUGAGGAAUACAUCGGAAUCUACUUUUUCGUGGGGGAUAACGUAGGGAAACUUACGCUAAUACCGCAUACGACCUACGGGUGAAAGCAGGGGAUCUUCGGACCUUGCGCGAUUGAAUGAGCCGAUGUCGGAUUAGCUAGUUGGCGGGGUAAAGGCCCACCAAGGCGACGAUCCGUAGCUGGUCUGAGAGGAUGAUCAGCCACACUGGAACGGGGACACGGUCAAGAAUACUACGGGAGGGAGCAGUGGGGAAUAUUGGACAAUGGGCGCAAGCCUGAUCCAGCCAUACCGCGUGGGUGAAGAAGGCCUUCGGGUUGUAAAGCCCUUUUGUUGGGAAAGAAAAGCAGCAGGUUAAUACCCCGCUGUUCUGACGGUACCCAAAGAAUAAGCACCGGCUAACUUCGUG